CCAAUUGAAGAUGAAGAGUUGAUCGCGUACAUGAUGCGCGGCCUCGACAGCGACUACGACUCCCUGGUGACCAGCAUCACCACGCGCGCUGAUCCCUACACCGUCAGCGACGUCUUCGCGCACAUGCUGAAUUUCGAGA